rnacentral:antisense_RNA from 1 species
CGUCCUACCAGUGCCAGGACUGCCAGAGCGGGAGGAGCGCGGCGCCGGCCAGCCGGGACUGCUGGACAGCGGGGUCCAGGCUAGAGGCGAGCGAGCGGUCAGUGACGGCUGUGGAGGAGGGAGGCGCUGGGCGUCAGCGCGGGAGCCGAGCCUCUGGACCACUGAGCUGGGGGGCUGGCUGAGGUCCACCUCCUAACAAAUUAUUGGAAGGAAUAUGAGAAAAAGACUGGUUAACCAAUUUUUAGGUACGGAAUUACAACCUGAAAUCAAGCCUUCAUUUCCCUCUCAACUUAAUUACCACUUCCUAUAAGAACUUGAUUAUAUGUCAGAACCGAGAUAGUAAAAUGAGGAGUCUGACUGAACAAUCGAGAUUACUACCAUUGGACAAACCCUGAGAGGAAUUACUCUUCAAUUCUCCUGGCUUUCGUUAUCAAUUAUAUGAUAUUAAAGAGAGA